rnacentral:lncRNA from 1 species
CAGGGAGAAGGCCUGGAAGUUAUACCAGAUCAACUCAAAAUUACAGUUUUUCAGAGCUUAUAUACCUUCUAAGCUAUACGUCUACGUGUAGUUGUGCGUUCAUCUAAAGACGCUGUGAAGUCAAAAGGAAAAUGUAAGAGGCUGCCGAGUUCUCAGAGUGGGAUGAAUAGAAUCAUUCAUGUUCAUCUGGAGAGAAACAAGUUUUCCUGUGACUGAAUAUUAAGAGAAGAUACACCAAGAAGGUGGCCAUCUACCAGCCAGGAAGAGAUCCCUCACCAGAGUCCUGCCAUGCUGGGGCACCCUGACCUUAGGCUUCCAGCCUCCAUAAUGGUGAGUAAAUAAAUUUCUGUCGUUUAAGCCACCUGUCGAUGAUA